AUGAUCCUUGGCAGCGGAUCCUUCGGCGGCUUCCCUCAGCCGGAUCCAUGGCGAAGCUUAGGCCCGUCCGGUUUCGUCCCCACUUCUCCCCCCUUUUUUUGCUGUAAUAAAUCCCAAUAUGGUUCGCCAGAUGCUCUUCUUCCUCGAUCUGUUCUUACCACCAUGGUUGUGGGAAGAGAGAUAGAGCAGCAGGAGAUGUACAUGCCUACCACUUGCAGGAGGCCUCGUUGCUACCUUCCUCCACUUGAUGCCGCCAAGGUGGUGGAUGAAGAGGGGUGGGGAAGCACUGAGCUGAAGAUUGAUGGUCGGGUUCGAGCUCAUCAGCAGAGGAUUCUAUGGUGGAGCUACGGCGCCUGCAGUCGGCUGCCGGUCUUCAUCGACCCUCUGCUUCUUCUGGUCGAAGGGCGGCCAACCCCUUUCCUCCUGGCUUGCAUGCCUUAUGGGAGGCAGUUCCAGUUUUCGUUCAGAGGCUCUGGGAUGCACGUGCUGCACCCAUGGCGAUCUCGUCGCCCCAAGUAG
rnacentral:rRNA from 1 species